GACCAUAGUAGCUCAGUUGGUCAGAGCAUGGUGCUAACAAUGCCAAAGUUGUGGGUUCAAUCCCUGUAUGGCCC